AUUCUCGUAGCCCAGCUGGUAGAACGUGCGCGUCCAAAGCGUAGGCGGUGUCCAUGCGUGGGUUCGAAUCCCACCGAGGCUA
rnacentral:tRNA from 1 species